rnacentral:rRNA from 1 species
UACGGAGGGUGCAAGCGUUAAUCGGAAUUACUGGGCGUAAAGCGUGCGCAGGCGGUUUGUUAAGUCUGCUGUGAAAUCCCCGAGCUCAACUUGGGAAUUGCAGUGGAUACUGGCAGGCUGGAGUAUGGUAGAGGAAGGUGGAAUUCCACGUGUAGCGGUGAAAUGCGUAGAGAUGUGGAGGAACACCAGUGGCGAAGGCGGCUUUCUGGUCUGUAACUGACGCUGAGGCGCGAAAGCGUGGGGAGCGAACAGG